GAGAUUACAUACUAAUCCA
rnacentral:miRNA from 1 species